rnacentral:rRNA from 1 species
GACGAACGCUGGCGGCGUGCCUAAUACAUGCGAGUAGAACGCUGAAGGAGGAGCUUGCUCUUCUGGAUGAGUUGCGAACGGGUGAGUAACGCGUAGGUAACCUGCCUGGUAGCGGGGGAUAACUAUUGGAAACGAUAGCUAAUACCGCAUAACAGUAGAUGUUGCAUGACAUUUGCUUAAAAGGUGCAAUUGCAUCACUACCAGAUGGACCUGCGUUGUAUUAGCUAGUUGGUGGGGUAACGGCUCACCAAGGCGACGAUACAUAGCCGACCUGAGAGGGUGAUCGGCCACACUGGGACUGAGACACGGCCCAGACUCCUACGGGAGGCAGCAGUAGGGAAUCUUCGGCAAUGGACGGAAGUCUGACCGAGCAACGCCGCGGGAGUGAAGAAGGUUUUCGGAUCGUAAAGCUCUGUUGUAAGAGAAGAACGAGUGUGAGAGUGGAAAGUUCACACUGUGACGGUAUCUUACCAGAAAGGGACGGCUAACUACGUG